rnacentral:lncRNA from 1 species
CUUCUGUUUCUGCUUUUGCAAAGCUGCCUCCAGAGAUUCCAACUGGAACUGUCUUUGCUGACGCUCUUUUUUCAGCUUGUCCACCUGACUCUCCAGCUCGUGGAUCUUCUGAAGGACCCGGGGGGACAGGCCUUCCUUCCACUCCUCCACAGCCCAGCUCAUACUGACCGGGCUUGGCUGCUACAGAACAGGUGGUAGCAAUGCCGCCGUUAUUCGAAGCAACCGCUGCACCGGCGGCCG